ACCACGUCGUAGUGGGGACACAUGGGAGAUGCCGGGGUCAACACGGAGGAGAGUAAGUACAAUCUCCAAUCCUCAUGCCCCUUAGGUCUNGGGCUUCACACAUGCGUCAGUGGCCAGGGNAGUGGGUUCCCAAACUGUAANGUGUACCUAAUCCCAAAAAGCCGGUCUCAUUUCGGAUUGGGGUCUGCAACUCUGACCCNAUGAAUUCGGAGUCGCUANUGAUCGCAUAUCAGCAGCGCUGCGGUNAAUAGGUCCCCUGGCCUUGUCACNCCGCCCGUCANAUCACGANAUUUGGUAACACCCGAANCCGGUGGCCUAGCCCNUGUGGGGGGACUGUCAUACGUGAGGACCAGUGAUUGGACU
rnacentral:rRNA from 1 species